AUUGAACGCUGGCGGCAGGCCUAACACAUGCAAGUCGAACGAGUGGCGGACGGGUGAGUAAUGCCUGGGAAUCUGCCUUAUGGAGGGGGAUAACUACGGGAAACUGUAGCUAAUACCGCAUACCAUCGGAUGAGCCCAAAUGGGAUUAGGUAGUUGGUGGGGUAAAGGCUCACCUAGCCGACGAUCCCUAGAUGGUCUGAGAGGAUGACCAGCCACACUGGGACUGAGACACGGCCCAGACUCCUACGGGAGGCAGCAGUGGGGAAUAUUGCGCAAUGGGGGCAACCCUGACGCAGCCAUGCCGCGUGAAUGAAGAAGGCCUUCGGGUUGUAAAGUUCUUUCGGUAGCGAGGCGUUACCUACAGAAGAAGCACCGGCUAACUCCGUGCCAGCCGCCGCGGUAAUUC
rnacentral:rRNA from 1 species